rnacentral:precursor_RNA from 12 species
GGCCAGCUGAGACUCCAGAGUGCCCCUCUGCGUGUUCACAGCGGACCUUGAUUUAAUGUCUAUACAAUUAAGGCACGCGGUGAAUGCCAAGAGAGGUGUCUCCGCCGCUCCUUUCUCAUG